UCCUACGGGACGCAGCAGUGGGGGAUAUUGCACAAUGGGGGGAACCCUGAUGCAGCGACGCCGCGUGAGUGAAGAAGUAUUUCGGUACGUAAAGCCCUAUCGGCAGGGAAGAAGAUGACGGUACCUGACCAAGAAGCCCCGGCUAACUACGUGCCAGCAGCCGCGGUAAUACGUAGGGGGCAAGCGUUAUCCGGAUUUACUGGGUGUAAAGGGGGCGCAGACGGCAAUGCAAGCCAGGAGUGAAAGCCCGGGGCCCAACCCCGGGACUGCUCUUGGAACUGCCUGGCUGGAGUACAGGAGGGGCG
rnacentral:rRNA from 1 species